rnacentral:lncRNA from 1 species
CAAAAUGGUCACAUCUCUAAUCCUGAUAAGGUUUUCAAUUUGAGAACUCCUGUCACAUCUCAGAGGCCUCUGAAGACUGAAGUCUAAUUUAAAAUUUAAAAGAGAAGGGAAUGGAAAUUCGUACUGAUGACUCAGAUUGAGGAAUUUGAAAAGAAGGUCCAAGUCUAUUCAUACCCGGGUUCCCUGACUAUAAAGUUGCCUCCUGUGGUACUUCCUGGUGUGUAGUUCUGAAGUUUGGUUAAAGAUAAAAGGCUGAGUCAAGAGCAUGCAAAUGGCUACCUAUCUUCCUGUGGGUGACCAGGUGAGUAGCUCAUCAAGAAUCAAAAAGAAAUAAUGGGUCUGGAGUUCUGGUUAGUUCCUCAGAGUAUUCAUUAAGUUUAUUUUUAGU